GUAGGUGGCAAGCGUUGUCCGGAACUAUUGGGCGUAAAGCGCGCGCAGGCGGUUCUUUAAGUCUGAUGUGAAAGCCCACGGGCUCAACCGUGGAGGGUCAUUGGAAACUGGAGAACUUGAGUACAGAAGAGGAAAGCGGAAUUCCACGUGUAGCGGUGAAAUGCGUAGAGAUGUGGAGGAACACCAGUGGCGAAGGCGGCUUUCUGGUCUGUAACUGACGCUGAGGCGCGAAAGCGUGGGGAGCAAACAGGAUUAGAUACCCUGGUAGUCCACGCCGUAAACGAUGAGUGCUAAGUGUUAGGGGGUUUCCGCCCCUUAGUGCUGCAGCUAACGCAUUAAGCACUCCGCCUGGGGAGUACGGCCGCAAGGCUG
rnacentral:rRNA from 1 species